rnacentral:rRNA from 1 species
UUGGAAUACCAUAACACCCUGAACAUGUUUGGUCUUGUUUGAUUUCAGAAGCUAAGCAGCAUUGGACCUGGUAAAGUCUUGGAUGAGAAACCAACGAAGAAUACUGGGGAUCUCUUAAG